rnacentral:tRNA from 1 species
GUUUCUGUAGUGUAGUGGCUAUCACGUUCGCCUCACACGCGAAAGGUCCCUGGUUCGAAACCAGGCAGAAACA